GUAUAAAUAAACACGAAAAACAAACAAAUGAAGGCGGCAGCCCGACAAAAAACUCCACACACGCCCCAGACACACCACACCCCACAAGCAGAAGGGGUGGAGAGGGAUAGAUAUCUAUUUAGAGUGAGGAGAGGGAGAGAGCCAAUCAGUGGGCCGGAAUAAUCCCUCUGGAAUGUAGCAGCGACGGUCUCAACCCUUCGAGACCGUCUUGCGGAGACCAAGUUGUAAAUAUACCAUCAUACCAUCAGAGAUAUUGUAGCUACCAUGCUGAAAAAAAGCUGAAACAAUGCUAAAACUCUCUGUUUUUGCUCAGUUCCAUUCGAUUCAAUUCUUGUUCAGGCCGCUUACGGUGUUCCAUAGUUUCCCCAGAACCUUGAACGCCCGACCAGUAGUUGUGAAGUUGUCGUUAAAUAUUUAUAAUAAAUUAAUAAAUCUCCUCUAUCUCUUCCGCUCGAUGGUUGCUUUUCAAACCCACUUUGCUGAAACAGUGUAUUUUCUUGUAUCGCAGAUAAAAAUAUCCAAAGAUUUACUAGGAAGAGAACUAGUAGAUCUUGUGAAAGAAUCAGAUCGUGAAAGAAGAAGUACGCUUACCUUUUACACUAAAAGACUAGAGACCUACCCAGUGAUAUAAGUAUAACCUAGUAAGAUGGUCAAAGCAGAUUGCCCUGCUUGACCAGUAUUGAAGGAACCAACACGGAAGACCGGGAUGGGCUCAAUGGAAACAUUCUUUUUUUCCCCCUUUUUUUUCAAUCCCUCUACUUUUUGGUCUCAUCCUUUUCAGGUUACAAUUCUCAGCUUCAAGGUUAGAGGGGGAAGCAUGGCAUCAUGCUUUGCAUGACGGAGCUAAGUAAUAACCCGGACGCCAACGAAAGCUAUCGGUUUUAACCUUUUCAACCUGAAUUUAUUACCUUAAAACGUCACUGGGCUCCGUGGAACUAAGACGUAAUAAAUUCGCUUCAAUGGAUGGAAUACCACAAACUAACUAGAAGUGUCUUACUAAAGUUAGAGAAAGUCGAGAAAGACACCAUCGUAGCGAAUGGAAUAUAGUGGGGCCAUUGAAGUUGUUAUUCAAUCUGUAUCAAACAACGAUGUCGUUCCUGUCUAACAUCACGGCUGCCUUUAUGCUUAUGUUAGAAAAAAACUUUGCGACAUCACAUUUCUAGCAUCAGACCGAAUACUCCAGAAAAGUCAAUAGCAGCAUACCGCUUCAUGUUCAGUACCGGUUUUACCAAAAGAGAGGUGGAGGGACCCUCAUCUUUGUUCUUUACCUGCGCCAGAAUAAGAAAACAUAGCCCUGUUCGCAAGGCAGCUGCAGUAUCCAGUCGGAAAAUUUCCCUAAAGCCGUUCUAUGUCUUUGGAAAAAUACACAUAUUUGGUAGGCUAUAGUAUUUUUUUGUUUGUUUCAUUGUAAUAUAUAUACUGUAUAUAUGGUGCAUACAUAAA
rnacentral:lncRNA from 1 species